rnacentral:rRNA from 1 species
CCUACGGGAGGCAGCAGUGGGGAAUAUUGCACAAUGGGGGAAACCCUGAUGCAGCGACGCCGCGUGAGUGAAGAAGUAAUUCGUUAUGUAAAGCUCUAUCAGCAGGGAAGAAAAUGACGGUACCUGAGUAAGAAGCCCCGGCUAACUACGUGCCAGCAGCCGCGGUAAUACGUAGGGGGCAAGCGUUAUCCGGAUUUACUGGGUGUAAAGUGAGCGUAGACGGCAGUGCAAGUCUGGAGUGAAAGGCGGGGGCUAAACCCCCGGACUGCUCGGGAAACUGUAAGGCUGGAGUGCAGGAGAGGUAAGUGGAAUUCCUAGUGUAGCGGUGAAAUGCGUAGAUAUUAGGAGGAACACCAGUGGCGAAGGCGGCUUACUGGACUGUAACUGACGUUGAGGCUCGAAAGCGUGGGGAGCAAACAGGAUUAGAUACCCCUGUAGUC